rnacentral:lncRNA from 11 species
CAGCUGCAGAAGAGGCAGGUUCACAUUCUUUCUCUCAACAGCACCAGCACACCACACAGCUUUCCAAGAGGCAUUUAAGGAGGUCCAGGAAAGGAAGAGUUAUGUUGGUGAAGCCAUUGCUAAAUAAAUGGCCCUAAGGAUUAACAGACAGCAUGGAAAAUAUGACAUCAUGAUUGACAAACCUUCAAGGAUACUUUUGUGGAAGAUAUGGUCCCUCAGGAUGCUUCCCAUACAGUUCAAGGAGGAAGCCUCACUGGAAGUGGCUGUGUGUCAUUUGAUGGGAUCCAGCAGGUUAUUUUGCAUCCUAUGAUAGAAUGAAGAAUUAAACAUUUGCCAUCCUCUCAAAUCUCACCUGUCUCUUGCAGCCAUUUAGGGGCUAGUGAAGAGUGAAGGGCAGGAGAAGAGUACUUGGCUAUGUUCCACUAGUUGGAUACAAAAUGAUAGAACCAUCCUUGGGGACCUCUGGAAUACCCCCAAGAAAUGAUGAGUGAUGUGUUUGUCUUUCUGAGCAUGUGUCUCACUAUAGCAACAUAGUGAGACCCUCAUCCACAGUGUCUUGCUUUCUGUAAUCCAAUAAAUGGUUAUAUCAGGAGGAUUCCACAAGAGACGGAGAAGGCUUGCAGACAGGGAUAGAGAGAAGUGGCAUUAUUUUGCCUAGAUGAAAUAUUGCAUUCCAUCUCCAGAUGCCUUAUAUUGGUCAGAAUGUUCAAAUUUCUUCAGAAAUAGAGUGCUUUUGAGUGUCAAUCCAUAUGUUACGCAUAAGUACACAUUUUUAGAUUUGUUUUGCUGUAAAAGCCUGAUGUCUUACUAACAUUACAAAAGAGAAGCUUGUGAGAGGAUAUUAAAAUAAAAAAGCAGUGCAUGUUUAUGUUUUUUCCCUUAUCAUAUCACUCCUCCU